rnacentral:rRNA from 1 species
AACGAACGCUGGCGGCAUGCCUAACACAUGCAAGUCGAACGAGACCUUCGGGUCUAGUGGCGCACGGGUGCGUAACGCGUGGGAACCUGCCCUUAGGUUCGGAAUAACUCCCCGAAAGGGGUGCUAAUACCGGAGAAUGUCUUCGGACCAAAGAUUUAUCGCCUUUGGAUGGGCCCGCGUUGGUUUAGCUAGUUGGUAGGGUAAAAGCCUACCAAGGCGCCGAUCCAUAGCUGGUCUGAGAGGAUGCUCAGCCACACUGGGACUGAGACACGGCCCAGACUCCUGCGGGAGGCAGCAGUGGGGACUAUUGGACAAUGGGCGAGAGCCUGAUCCAGCACUGCCGCGUGAGUGAUGAAGGCCUUAGGGUUGUAAAGCUCUUUUACCCGGGAUGAUAAUGACAGUACCGGGAGAAUAAGCUCCGGCUAACUCCGU